rnacentral:rRNA from 1 species
UGCCUGUUCUGCAAAAAUCGUGAAGAGAAGAUUGAUCUGGAAGCUUCCAGGUGUGGGAUUUGUCCCAUGUCCGAGCCCAGUUCUUGUGAAACCAUGGAUGGCCUAGCCGGCCGGAUGUGGUGGAGGAACUGGAUGUAGGAAGGAAGCUUGUCGCUCUGGUCGGUCGUUGUUGCCAAAACUUCGGUUUUGGUUCUGACGACUUUCUGAUGACCGAUAGCUAACCGCGCGGUCCCGGAUUUAAUCUCGAGAAGCUGGUCUUAUGAUAGACCGCAAGCGGGCCGCUCGGCGUGGCCCCAAUAAAGCGGAUCUAUCGAGAACACGUCGAUGGCAUCAUGAUGGUUCGGUUGUAAAAGGUAACCGGACUGCUGAUCGUUUCUUUGAAACGACAGCUAAUUGAUGAGCAUUGGCAAUGAGAACGAUUAAGUGUCGUAAGGGCAUUUGGUGGAUGCCUUGGCAUGCACAGGCGAAGAAGGACGUGAUACGCUGCGAAAAGCCGUGGGGAGCUGCGAAUGAGCUUUGAUCCAUGGAUCUCCGAAUGGGGCAACCCACCUUAAAUGCUUGGAGAAUUUAAGUCGUGCGACAGUACGGCUUAGGUUUCCAAGCAUUGAUUAUAAGGUAUCUUACCUUCGAAUACAUAGGGGUAAGAAGCGAACGCAGGGAACUGAAACAUCUAAGUACCUGCAGGAAAGGACAUCAACCGAGACUCCGCAAGUAGUGGCGAGCGAACGCGGACCAGGCCAGUGGCAAUCAGGAAUAAAGCCGAACGAUUUGGAAAGGUCGACCGUAGCGGGUGAUAGUCCCGUAGGCGUAGAACACUGAUUGUCCUAGAGUAGGGCGGGACACGUGAAAUCCUGUCUGAACAUGGGGAGACCACUCUCCAAGCCUAAGUACUCGUGCAUGACCGAUAGCGAACAAGUACCGUGAGGGAAAGGUGAAAAGCACCCCGACAAGGGGAGUGAAAUAGAACCUGAAACCGGAUGCCUACAAACAGUAGGAGGCCGCAAGGCUGACUGCGUACCUUUUGUAUAAUGGGUCAACGACUUAGUGUGUCGAGCAAGCUUAAGCCGGUAGGUGUAGGCGCAGCGAAAGCGAGUCUGAACAGGGCGUUCAGUUCGACGCAUUAGACCCGAAACCGAGUGAUCUAGCCAUGAGCAGGCUGAAGGUUGGGUAACACCAACUGGAGGGCCGAACCCGCAUCUGUUGCAAUAGAUUGGGAUGACUUGUGGCUAGGGGUGAAAGGCCAAUCAAACUCGGAAAUAGCUGGUUCUCCGCGAAAACUAUUUAGGUAGUGCGUCGACCGAAUACCCCAGGGGGUAGAGCACUGGAUGGGCUAUGGGGACUCACCGUCUUACUGAUCCUAACCAAACUCCGAAUACCUGGGAGUACUAGUCGGCAGACACACGGCGGGUGCUAACGUCCGUCGUGAAGAGGGCAACAACCCUGACCUCCAGCUAAGGUCCCCAAGUCAUGGCUAAGUGGGAAAGGAUGUGAGGAUCCCAAAACAACCAGGAUGUUGGCUUAGAAGCAGCCAUCAUUUAAAGAAAGCGUAACAGCUCACUGGUCUAAAUAAGGGUCUUUGCGCCGAAAAUGUAACGGGGCUAAAGCCAUGCACCGAAGCUGAGGAUGUGCGUAAGCACGUGGUAGCGGAGCGUUCCGUAAGCCUGUGAAGGAGGACCCGUGAGGGCCUCUGGAGGUAUCGGAAGUGCGAAUGUUGACAUGAGUAACGAUAAAGAGGGUGAGAGACCCUCUCGCCGAAAGACCAAGGGUUCCUGCUUAAAGUUAAUCUGAGCAGGGUUAGCCGGCCCCUAAGGCGAGGCAGAAAUGCGUAGUCGAUGGGAACCACGUUAAUAUUCGUGGGCCUGGUGGUAGUGACGGAUUGCUCAACUUGUAAGGUCUUAUUGGAUUGAUCUUGCAGGGACGCGGUUCCAGGAAAUAGCUCCACCGUAUAGACCGUACCCGAAACCGACACAGGUGGUCAGGUAGAGUAUACCAAGGCGCUUGAGAGAACUAUGUUGAAGGAACUCGGCAAAUUGCACGCGUAACUUCGGAAGAAGCGUGACCCCACUUGAGGCAACUUUUGUGGGGUGGCACAGACCAGGGGGUAGCGACUGUUUAUCAAAAACACAGGGCUCUGCGAAGUCGAAAGACGACGUAUAGGGUCUGACGCCUGCCCGGUGCUGGAAGGUUAAGAGGAGAGGUGCAAGCUUUGAAUCGAAGCCCCAGUAAACGGCGGCCGUAACUAUAACGGUCCUAAGGUAGCGAAAUUCCUUGUCGGGUAAGUUCCGACCUGCACGAAUGGCGUAACGACUUCCCCGCUGUCUCCAACAUAGACUCAGUGAAAUUGAAUUCCCCGUGAAGAUGCGGGGUUCCUGCGGUUAGACGGAAAGACCCCGUGCACCUUUACUAUAGCUUUACACUGGCAUUCGUGUCGGCAUGUGUAGGAUAGGUGGUAGGCUUUGAAGCGGGGACGCCAGUCUUCGUGGAGCCAUCCUUGAAAUACCACCCUUAUCGUCAUGGAUGUCUAACCGCGGUCCGUCAUCCGGAUCCGGGACAGUGUAUGGUGGGUAGUUUGACUGGGGCGGUCGCCUCCGAAAGAGUAACGGAGGCGCGCGAUGGUGGGCUCAGACCGGUCGGAAAUCGGUCGUCGAGUGCAAUGGCAUAAGCCCGCCUGACUGCGAGACUGACAAGUCGAGCAGAGACGAAAGUCGGUCAUAGUGAUCCGGUGGUCCCGUGUGGAAGGGCCAUCGCUCAACGGAUAAAAGGUACGCCGGGGAUAACAGGCUGAUGACCCCCAAGAGUCCAUAUCGACGGGGUUGUUUGGCACCUCGAUGUCGGCUCAUCGCAUCCUGGGGCUGGAGCAGGUCCCAAGGGUUUGGCUGUUCGCCAAUUAAAGCGGUACGUGAGCUGGGUUCAGAACGUCGUGAGACAGUUCGGUCCCUAUCUGCCGUGGGUGUAGGAAUAUUGACAGGAUCUGUCCCUAGUACGAGAGGACCGGGAUGGACAUAUCUCUGGUGGACCUGUUGUCCUGCCAAGGGCAUAGCAGGGUAGCUAUAUAUGGAAUGGAUAACCGCUGAAGGCAUCUAAGCGGGAAACCAACCUGAAAACGAGUAUUCCCUAUCAGGGCCGUGGAAGACGACCACGUUGAUAGGAGGCGUGUGGACGCGCAGCAAUGUGUGAAGCUUAGCCUUACUAAUAGCCCGAUUGGCUUGAUCGU